rnacentral:rRNA from 1 species
GAAAUUCGCCUUCAUGAAGUCGGAAUUGCUAGUAAUGGCAGGUCAGCAUACUGCCGUGAAUACGUUCCCGGGCCUUGUACACACCGCCCGUCACACCAUGAGAGUUGGAGAUACCCGAAGCCUAUGAGCUAACUUUUAGAGGCAGUAGUCGAAGGUAGAAUCAAUGAUUGGGGUGAAGUCGUAACAAGGUAUC